rnacentral:ncRNA from 2 species
UUCGGGUUCGCGACGUUUUUUCCGUCGCCUUCUGCAUGCCGUCCCGGACGCACUUCCUACUCGAACUUUCUAGCGCUCCUGUCGCCCCCUUGCGACACGGC